CGUAGGGUGCGAGCGUUAAUCGGAAUUACUGGGCGUAAAGUGUGCGCAGGUGGCUGAGCAAGUCGAGUGUGAAAUCCCCGGGCUUAACUUGGGAAUUGCGCUCGAAACUACUUGGCUCGAGUGUGGCAGAGGAAGGUGGAAUUCCAGGUGUAGCGGUGAAAUGCGUAGAGAUCUGGAGGAACACCGAUGGCGAAGGCAGCCUUCUGGGCCAACACUGACGCUCAUGCACGAAAGCGUGGGGAGCAAACAGGAUUAGAUACCCUGGUAGUCCACGCCCUAAACGAUGAUGACUAGUUGUUGGGGGAGUUAAAUCCCUUAGUAACGCAGCUAACGCGUGAAGUCAUCCGCCGUGGGGAGUACGGUCGCAAGAAUU
rnacentral:rRNA from 1 species